AGUGCUUGGUGUCCACAGCCCAUAACAUAGUGAAAUAUUUGCUUCUGCUUUUCAAGAGAAAUUAUAAACCCACUCAUUGGCUUGAUUGAGAAGCAGUAGUUCAGGCUAAUGAGACUAGGAAGGUUGUGCCUUGCCUGAAGUCACACAGGCAGCAUGGCAAAAGGGCUCGGGUCUUUGAGUCCAAGCUUUCGACCUUACACCACAAACACACAUUCCCUCCCUCUUCAAGGCUUGCUGUACUUCCCCUUCUGGGAUAUAGUGAAAACAUGCUGGCAUCACACCUUGAGAUAACCUUGUUUUUUCCCCUUGGAACAGAGAGACUACUCACAGCUGCUGUCUCAUGGGAUUAAGAUGUUGAAAAGAUCAGAGAGGGAUGUGAGGGGAAUGGGGAAGAAGCAAGUCACGGCUCUGUCUGCCUUUGGGCAUUUUCUACCUCCUCUGCUGCCAGUGAAGUUAGUGUACUAUCAGGAGCAACCUCAAACAUUUUUGUAUGUGCUUCCAUAUAAUCUUCAGGCAGAAUGUGCUUCCAUAUAAUAUUCAGACAGGACUGUGGUAAAAAUGCCAUAAUCAAAGAGAGAGCUUGGCUGACAAGGAACUUGGACAGAUGAGCCAGUAAGUCACUCCUGUAUUGAAUAUAUGGGAUUUCAUUAUCCUUCUGUAUGUGACCUGCAUUUCUUACUGCUUCUUAUUAUCAGAGUCCUAUGACAACUGCUACAGCCAUCUCUUUCACCCCUUCAGAAGAGAGGGAUAAUCCAUCAGCCAGUUUCUCUCCACUAGUAUGAGUCAGUUUUUUUCUAGGGGGAUUAAUGGUCAGUUGAAAAGAGUUGUUCCCAACAGGGCUGUGCAAAAAGCAGUGUGCACAUGAGUCACAAAGUGGAAAAGAAGGAAACAGAUCUAUAGAUUUAAAGGUUUUGAAUUAUUUCUUUUCUCUUAGCUUCCCUUGUCCACACCAACUGAUAACCAGACAUGCAAAGCUGGAAAUGUAUUGGCAGUGGCUGGCGUAAGUGGGACUGAGAGCUUCUCCCACUGUGCAAACAAACCUGAAGUCAGUCAGCCAAAACCAGAUCAGUGUGUACCAGCAAUUCCAGCCCUUGUAGGGGAGAGAUGCUGGGAGAAAAAUCAGAUCACAGUGCAGCAGCCCCCUCCUGUCGCCCCUAUAACCCUGCGGUGUAUCCCAGCA
rnacentral:lncRNA from 1 species